rnacentral:rRNA from 1 species
GAUGAACGCUAGCUACAGGCUUAACACAUGCAAGUCGAGGGGCAGCAUGGUCUUAGCUUGCUAAGGCCGAUGGCGACCGGCGCACGGGUGAGUAACACGUAUCCAACCUGCCGUCUACUCUUGGACAGCCUUCUGAAAGGAAGAUUAAUACAAGAUGGCAUCAUGAGUCCACAUGUUCACAUGAUUAAAGGUAUUCCGGUAGACGAUGGGGAUGCGUUCCAUUAGAUAGUAGGCGGGGUAACGGCCCACCUAGUCUUCGAUGGAUAGGGGUUCUGAGAGGAAGGUCCCCCACAUUGGAACUGAGACACGGUCCAAACUCCUACGGGAGGCAGCAGUGAGGAAUAUUGGUCAAUGGGCGAGAGCCUGAACCAGCCAAGUAGCGUGAAGGAUGACUGCCCUAUGGGUUGUAAACUUCUUUUAUAUAGGAAUAAAGUCGGGUAUGGAUACCCGUUUGCAUGUACUUUAUGAAUAAGGAUCGGCUAACUCCGUGCCAGCAGCCGCGGUAAUACGGAGGAUCCGAGCGUUAUCCGGAUUUAUUGGGUUUAAAGGGAGCGUAGAUGGAUGUUUAAGUCAGUUGUGAAAGUUUGCGGCUCAACCGUAAAAUUGCAGUUGAUACUGGAUAUCUUGAGUGCAGUUGAGGCAGGCGGAAUUCGUGGUGUAGCGGUGAAAUGCUUAGAUAUCACGAAGAACUCCGAUUGCGAAGGCAGCCUGCUAAGCUGCAACUGACAUUGAGGCUCGAAAGUGUGGGUAUCAAACAGGAUUAGAUACCCUGGUAGUCCACACGGUAAACGAUGAAUACUCGCUGUUUGCGAUAUACAGCAAGCGGCCAAGCGAAAGCGUUAAGUAUUCCACCUGGGGAGUACGCCGGCAACGGUGAAACUCAAAGGAAUUGACGGGGGCCCGCACAAGCGGAGGAACAUGUGGUUUAAUUCGAUGAUACGCGAGGAACCUUACCCGGGCUUAAAUUGCAGAUGAAUUACGGUGAAAGCCGUAAGCCGCAAGGCAUCUGUGAAGGUGCUGCAUGGUUGUCGUCAGCUCGUGCCGUGAGGUGUCGGCUUAAGUGCCAUAACGAGCGCAACCCUUGUUGUCAGUUACUAACAGGUUCCGCUGAGGACUCUGACAAGACUGCCAUCGUAAGAUGUGAGGAAGGUGGGGAUGACGUCAAAUCAGCACGGCCCUUACGUCCGGGGCUACACACGUGUUACAAUGGGGGGUACAGAGGGCCGCUACCACGCGAGUGGAUGCCAAUCCCAAAAACCUCUCUCAGUUCGGACUGGAGUCUGCAACCCGACUCCACGAAGCUGGAUUCGCUAGUAAUCGCGCAUCAGCCACGGCGCGGUGAAUACGUUCCCGGGCCU